GAUGAACGCUGGCGGCGUGCCUAAUACAUGCAAGUCGAGCGAACGGACGAGAAGCUUGCUUCUCUGAUGUUAGCGGCGGACGGGUGAGUAACACGUGGAUAACCUACCUAUAAGACUGGGAUAACUUCGGGAAACCGGAGCUAAUACCGGAUAAUAUUUUGAACCGCAUGGUUCAAAAGUGAAAGACGGUCUUGCUGUCACUUAUAGAUGGAUCCGCGCUGCAUUAGCUAGUUGGUAAGGUAACGGCUUACCAAGGCAACGAUGCAAAGCCGACCUGAGAGGGUGAUCGGCCACACUGGAACUGAGACACGGUCCAGACUCCUACGGGAGGCAGCAGUAGGGAAUCUUCCGCAAUGGGCGAAAGCCUGACGGAGCAACGCCGCGUGAGUGAUGAAGGUCUUCGGAUCGUAAAACUCUGUUAUUAGGGAAGAACAUAUGUGUAAGUAACUGUGCACAUCUUGACGGUACCUAUCAGAAAGCCACGGCUAACUACGUG
rnacentral:rRNA from 1 species